UACGAAUCGAAGCUCCGACGACUCGCUUUUGCAAUCCCGGCGCGAACAGUAGCAAAUUCGCGAAGAUUACUUCGUUCUGGCGCAUCUCGGCAUUGACCCAUAUCAAAUCGGAGCCCGGUUCAUAAUACCCAUCCUUGUUCGAAGCUAGAAUUAAGUUACCCAUUACUUUUCGGUAUCGAACCAGCAAGCUCGAAGCUUCUCGAACCCGGAUUUGGAAGCUCAAGCCUCCUCGGCGUCGAACCACUCCUUACCCAAGAGGUUUUAUGGUGAGAUAGUAGGAACCCUUCGGUGAACUUGGUAGCGCAUUAGAACUUUGUUUUCGCAGGUAUCGAGCUAGCUCCUGGGAUGGUGAUGGC